GGGCGAAACGCCCUCAACCUAUUCUCAAACUUUAAAUUGGUAAGAAGCCCGACUCGCUCGUUUGGAGCCGGGCAUGGAAUGCGAGUGCCAAGUGGGCCACUCUUGGUAAGCAGGACUGGCGAUGCGGGAUGAACCGAACGCCGGGUUAAGGCGCCCGACGCGACGCUCAUCAGAGCCCACAAAAGGUGUUGGUUGAUAUAGACAGCAGGACGGUGGCCAUGGAAGUCGGAAACCGCUAAGGAGUGUGUAACAACUCACCUGCCGAAUCAAUCAGCCCUGAAAAUGGAUGGCGCUGGAGCGUCGGGCCUAUACCCGGCCGUCGCGGCGGUACGAGCAUCGAGUUGGUGCGCUAGGCCGCGACGAGUAGGAGGGCCGCGGCGGCGGGCGUAGAAGCCUAGGGCGCGAGCCCGGGUGGAGCAGCCGUCGGUGCAGAUCUUGGUGGUAGUAGCAAAUAUUCAAAUGAGAACUUUGAAGGCCGAAGUGGAGAAGGGUUCCAUGUGAACAGCAGUUGAACAUGGGUCAGUCGACCCUAAGGGAUAGGCGAAGGCCGUUCUGAAGCGGGGUGAUGUUCGCGUCGCCCCGGCGGACCGAAAGGGAAUCGGGUUAAUAUUCCCGAACCUCGACGCGGAGAUUGGCGCUCGGGCGCCUAGUGCGGCAACGCAAACGAACUCGGAAACGCCGACGUGGGUCCCGGGAAGAGUUCUCUUUUCUUGGUAAGGGGCGGCGACCCUGGAAUCGGUUCGCCCGGAGAUAGGGACAUGGGCCCCGUAAAGCAGCACGUCUCUUGUGCUGUCCGGUGAGCUCGCGUCGGCCCUUGAAAAUCCGAGGGAGACGGUGUAAUUUUCGUGCGAGGUCGUACCCAUAUCCGCAGCAGGUCUCCAAGGUGAACAGCCUCUGGCCGAUAGAACAAUGUAGGUAAGGGAAGUCGGCAAACUAGAUCCGUAACUUCGGGAAAAGGAUUGGCUCUAGGGGCUGGGUCGGUCGGGCUGAGGUACGAAGCGGGGCGCGGCGCUGUACCGGACUGGGCGAACGACGGCCUCCCUCGCGGGGGGCUGGCGUGAGCCUGGACCUGUGUCGGCGUCUUCCCGUGGAAUGCCGCAGCUAACGCGGGCCUCGCGGCCCGCUUCGGCCGGCGUCGAACAGCCGACUUAGAACUGGUACGGACCGGGGGAAUCCGACUGUUUAAUUAAAACAAAGCUUUGCGAUGGCCGUCAGCCGGUGUUGACGCAAUGUGA
rnacentral:ncRNA from 1 species